UUGGGCUGCGGCAGGUUCUGAAGCAGCCAAUCCUGGAUUCAAAGCAAUGGGGCAUGUCUGCAAAAACUGGGAAUUCUGCAAUCAGGGAGAUGUUUUGAAAUGUUCCCGGUGGGGAAGAUUUGAAGGAAAAGUUUGCUUUCCAGGAGAAUUCAUGCUAGCGAAGCUCGACUGGCUGUUCAAGGAAAAACCCAGAAGAUCCCAUCUCUCAUCCGUCUGUUUUUAAAUAAAUGAAAUGAAACCCAAAAUACACCAAUCAAUGAAGAAGCCACAAAAGAAAAUUCGAGAGCCCUCUUUUCCUCCCCACUCUGAAGACCAGAAGAAAACAAGUGUGAAAAGAAAAUCUGUGCAGUAUUGUUCCACUUCAGAAUGGAUGAGAACAGAAUUGAAGAAGGAGCAGAGGAAGAAUUUUUUUGAAGACUCACCCCUUCCACUCCAAAUUAACUGGGAAUUCAG